GACACCGGGACGAUGGGGCCCAGGCUGGCACGGGCCACCUCGUCACCGCUAACUUCCAGGGAUGUCCAGAAGCGGAACUUACAGCCAGACACCAACCCCCGUGGGUGGGAAGCGGCAAAGCAAACCCGCAAAAAACCUACUACGACACCAGGUCCACUUCCGCCUGGCAGCGCCAGCGGCGAUCCAAGAUGGAGAAAAGAGGCGCAGGCCUUCCGCACCAACGCCCUUCUAGUGCGCAGGCGCGCGCCGAGGCCCCGCCCCUCGCGCUCCCGCCAAGACCCGGCGCGCGCGUCGGAAGUCAGAGACUUCAAGGCGCCGCCUUGCUCUUCCGCCCCGAGGCCCCGCGUUCCCAGGCCGGUUCCGGUUGCAGCCCCGCCCCCGCGCGGGAACACGCCAGAAGGCUUGAUAUCCGGAACGGGAGGCUGGCUCAAGCGCGCACUUCCGGUGGUGCCUCUUCCCAUCUCCCUUGAGGCCCAAGCUCUGGCUCUCGGUGCGGCAGCGCCACCUGGCGCCGAGUGUUCCUCCGCCCGCGGAGGGGCGCGCUUCCUCACUUCGGAACCUUCCAGAGACGCCGCGGCCCGGGUAGGCUUUACGCAUUCCGCUAGAAGGGCGGGACCUAAGACUCCGCCCCCGCCGAGUUCCCGCCCGGGAAGGGUUUUGCGGUUACUCUGAACGGAAACAGUUGGAGUCCUGAUGUGGAAUGGACCUCAAGCGGCAGGAAGUCGGUUUUUUUCCCGCGAAAUGAAGCCCUUAGUAACACAGUUCCGGUUCCCUUUUGUUCUGCUUUCUGGUUCCACGUUUCUGGGCCGCAGUCUCUGGACAUUGUGCUUCAGUUCCCUCUGAAUGGCCUGAGAGCCUCCAUUUUUCGUUUCGUGGAGAGAUGGCUCUACUUCGUAGCCUCGAUCAAGAUGUAGCCAGCACCA